rnacentral:rRNA from 1 species
UGCCAGCAGCCGCGGUAAUACGUAGGGAGCAAGCGUUGUUCGGAAUCACUGGGCAUAAAGCGCACGUAGGCGGUCUAGUAAGUCAGAUGUGAAAGCCCCUGGCUCAACCAGGGAAGUGCAUUGGAAACUGGCGAACUUGAGUACGGGAGAGGAAAGUGGAAUUCCGAGUGUAGGGGUGAAAUCCGUAGAUAUUCGGAGGAACACCAGUGGCGAAGGCGGCUUUCUGGACCGAUACUGACGCUGAGACGCGAAAGCGUGGGGAGCAAACAGGAUUAGAUA